rnacentral:rRNA from 1 species
GUGCCAGCCGCCGCGGUAAUACGGAGGGUGCAAGCGUUGUUCGGAUUUACUGGGCGUAAAAGGCAUGUAGGCGGCUGGAUCAAUCAGAUGUGGAAUACCCCGGCUUACCCGGGGCACGGCAUUUGAUAUUGUCCGGCUAGAGUACGGGAGAGGAGAGUGGAACUCUUGGUGUAGCGGUGAAAUGCGUAGAUAUCAAGAGGAACACCAGAGGCGAAGGCGACUCUCUGGUCCGUUACUGACGCUGAGAUGCGAAAGCUAGGGGAGCAAACGGGAUUAGAUACCCCGGUAGUCCUAGCCGUAAACGAUGGAUACUAACUUGGGGCAUCUUUAGGUGUCUCAGGCUCAGCUAACGCAGUAAGUAUCCUGCCUGGGGAGUACGAUCGCAAGAUUAAAACUUAAAUGAAUUGACGGGG